rnacentral:tRNA from 1 species
GGGCCCGUAACUCAAUGGUAGAGUAACGCCCUUUUAAGGCGUGAGUUGCACGUUCGAGUCGUGCCGGGCCCACCA